UUGAGCUCAGAUCAGGUAGGACUACCGCCUGAACUUAAGCAUAUCAAUAAGGCGAGGAACAGAAACCAACAGGGACUCCCCUAGUAGUGGCGAAUGAAGCGGGAAAAGCUCAAGUUUGAAAUCUGGCGGGCGACCUCCAGAGUUGUAAGCUGAAGAGGCAUAGACCGACGAGGUCCAGGCUCAAUUUCCUUGGAACAGGAGGUCAUGGAGGGUGAGAACCCCGUCUGUGGCUUGGGUGCCGUCGUCCUUGUGUCUUGUCCUCGUAGAGUCGGGUUGUUUGGGAAUGCAGCUCAAAAUGGGUGGUAAAUUUCAUCUAAGGCUAAAUAUUUGCGAGAGACCGAUAGCAAACAAGUAGAGUGAUCGAAAGAUGAAAAGUACUUUGAAAAGAGAGUGAAACAGUACGUGAAAUUGUUGAAAGGGAAGCGUUUGGCAUCAGCCCAUGGUGGCCAAAGAUCAACCAGGCUUCUGUCUGGUGCACUUUUUGGGCACUGGGCCAGCGUCGACUUUGCUCGCCGGAGAAAGGCCUUGGGGAUGUGGCUCCCUUUGGGGAGCGUUAUAACCCUCGGCGUCAUGCGGUGUGGUGGGGUCGAGGUCCGCGGUUUAUCCUAGGACGCUGGCGUAAUGGUUCCAA
rnacentral:rRNA from 1 species